GAUGCGUCAUCGGGAGGAAUAGCCUAGGCUGUCGCGUGCCGGAAGCCAUCAACUAGCCUGAAAGUAGCUCGAGAGUAUGUUUUAACCUUCGUUCCAACGUAACCCUGUGAAACUAAGGAACGUACAUUACCAUCCAUAAGUAUUUGAACAGCUGGUACAAUUCGAUUAAAACGUUCAUAUCCUUGUAAUAUUUUCAAUUUUUUUUUUAAUAGAACAACAUUUUUCUAGCGUUUGAUUCUUUGCUUCUUGCAUCGAGCCCCAAUGAUCUGCUAAAUUGGAACUGACAAGAAAAAUAUACGUAUCUACAUCAUUCAAGUUCUAUGUCUAUUUGAAUAACGAACGCAUGAAAUUUAUAUAAACCUUUAGAAACUAGUGGAUAGUUGAUCUCAUUUGGCCCAAGAUCCCAAUUUAAAAUCACUUAACUCAGGUUGCCUGAGAUAACGUACGAGACGAAAAUUAAUUAGUCAGAGAAUUUCAUUCGAAGUACGUUUUACAUAUUUGCGGUACAUUGAGAGUGUACCAAGGAGUACUGAAAUACUUAUGGACGGUAUUGUACCUUCUUUUCCCUUUUUGUUUCUUUACUUUCGUUUAACCGAUACCGGAGACCCAGUUCUUUCUUCAAAGGAGGACACCCUGUAUUAUUCCAGGGGAUACAGAGGUGCAUGACCUAGUUACGCUUGGGCGUGUUAUAUGGGUCAUAGACACCAUUCGCAGCGAAUCAUACGUGCACACGUACCCACACAGGGACACGUAUUAUAGUCUAGAAAAUUAUGAUAGUUUCCACGGAAACGUGAUCCUGCGAAUAUGGGGUAGUAAAAGUUUUAUAACUCACCUACUAUAUCUUGCAAUUAUCAGGCAUGAAUUUACUUCUGGAAACGGAAAUACGGCUUUUAGAUGAACAACCGAAGUCGAUCGAUGUUUCUGCAUAAAUUGUUUCUCCGAUUUUUCUCUAUUUUUAAUUGCCAUUUUAAUUAUCCAGUAGUAUAUAUUGGUAGCAUCGAAGAAGCAUCCUCGAGAUCAUUUUAGAAAAGAAAAUUCCACGAGUACAGAUAGCUCUUUAAAGUGUCCUUUUUCAACGAGGAGCUUUUCAGCGGAUCAGAGCUAAAAGGCACGAACGGAAAAAUACAGGAAGAGGGAAGCAGUUGAGGUUUGCAAUGAAAUUGGCUAUCUGGGCUCUAUCAGUAAGCUCGCGUGUGUAUUGCAAAGGCAAUUUGUAACUUUCUAGUACUUUCUACCAUCGUGUGAUCGGUGCAUAUCCAGGAACGAUUAACAGUAACCGCAUCGAUCAUUUCUAUCGAAAUCAACGUUCUAUAGUUUAAAAGAUUCUCUCACGAAGCUGUUGUCUCUGUACGUGUUACUCUCUCACUACCAAGAUCAUGUUCCUGUACUAUUUUAAAGCUUCGAGCUGACACGAAAUACUUCCAAAAUAUAGGCUGGAAGAUCUUAGGGUACCAGGAUUCUCUUGCGCAAUUGGAAUAUUGUCCUUAAUAGAAUUUUACAAGUUACAAGUUACGAAUUAGCGUUACAAGUUAACGCUAAUAAAUUUGCUUGCGUAUCAGCACCAAAUUUGGUAGCGAGGCGAAUGAAACUCUGCAAGCGAAUUUUACGAAUUUCGAUUUCUAGUAUUUUACGAACUGAUUUUUAUUCAGCGACAGAUUUUAAAAUUAUAAAAUACAAGCCUGUAUAACUUGUAAACUAUGGCUGCUCAAUUCGAUAUCGUUAUUAGUUGGCAAAUUAUUGUAUUGUAUUGAAAUGGUUCAGAAAUCAUAAUUUCAUCGUAAAAUGUACAGCGUAGGAUAAUUAAAAUCACCGUAAAACAGUGAUUCACUCGACACCCGGUACACUCGAAAUACGCGCACGCGUGCACUUGCCCGGCGCACGGACUCUCUUCUUUCUCUCUUCCUCUGCUCUGCCCAAGACCAUUCCUUCUCGCUCUUCAUUCUCAUGUCCCCUUCCUUCCCAUCUUCGUCGGGAAUUUUUCAAUUCUCCCCUUGUAUUCGUUUUUUUUUCUACCCUUUCCAUCCCCUUCUCUGGAUCUCUGGAUGGCUGAAUCGUUCUCUCUACCUCUCUUACUCUGUCCCUCCCCCUGACAGAGUCCGUCUCGCGCGCUCUCGAUAUCGCUCUCCUCGUCGAGUCCGCGAUUCGAGGGACCGCGCCGCGUUUCUCUCUCAGUCUCUCGCGCAAAGCGGUUUCGUGGCGACGUACCGUUGCACACGAUAGAUUGUGGCUGGUCCGGGUCUCCUCUACGUGUGUUCCUGUGUGUAGUCUAUCUUUCUUUUCCCUCUUGUCAACCCUCUUUUCAUUCUUUCGACUCGAUUGGAUAGCGACAGUUUCUCAGGCCCUUCCAUCACGACCCCCUUUGCUUUUCUUUCCACGUUUGUACCCUCUUCCUGCUGGAAGAUGACCGUGCUGGUGGCUCAGUUCGCGGGGGACCAUGGAUCACCGUAAGAAAGAGACGCGGUGGUUGUCUGUCGCGACUGGUGCUCGAGAUAGCGGCGAAGAAGGGAUCACAGGCCGACAGAGAAAGAGUGUAUUGCUAUUUUCGAGACGCCGUGGAGCCCGGCCAACGUGUGCGUCCGGUUUACGAGCUUUACGAGUGUAACCACGAAGCUUUGAAAAAGAGAAAUUAAGAAUCGUGAAAGGUGAAAGGGUUUCGGUGUACGAGGCGAAGAAUAGAUUUCGACGACGAUGAUCGAUAAGCUGAUAGUGAAUCGUGCUUGGUUUAUCUUGGAUUCAAGACUGUGAAUAAUGUUGAGUUUGGUCAAGAGAGAAGAGAAAAAGAGAGGAUGUCUCGAACGAAGACGUAGCCGUGUUUUCGAGUCACUUUGUCGCGAUGAUUCCUACUCUUUGUCAAUUAAUCGUCAUGGAGAUUGGCCUCUGGAGAGUGUACGAUGUUGGAAGGUGGACGUGCAGUGACUUGGCUCCUUGUAUCAGCCCUACGAGCUGCACGUCACCCGAAAGAUUCACGUACUAACCCAGUUGCACCUGUUUGAACCCACCAGUUGCAGAGUCCUGCACCGUAACCCCAUGACGCAUUUAACACAUGGCCCGCCUGGAGAUACCAAGUAUAGUGGUGCAUAAAGGCAGCAGGUCGCAUAGCCGACCUGAGAGUCCCACGGUGGUGGUGCGAGGAGGAAUGCCCUCACUGCCAUCCUCUAGGCAAGGCUUCGUCAUAAGUGGCUCCAAUACAUCAUAUCAGAACAGCUCGGAGUCGGAUAUGAUAGACGGGAAUGCCAAUCCGAAUGUCAGCUCUUCUCCUACACAGAAUUCUCUCCACCGCAGCUCGCCCUCUUGUCCUCCUGACAAAUCAGACUCAGAGAACAAGAACUUUCGUACCAGGACGAAUACGAAAGUUAAGUUGCUGGUCAGGAGCCAUGCUAUGAGAGAGUCGACGUCUCCCCCAAGGGAGCCACACAACGGUUCGUCGUCUCCACAUAGCCCUCAGUCGGUGGACGGUGAAAAGAAGUUCGUGGGCAACCUGUCUCCAAAUUCCACUAACGUGAAGCUUAAUAACAACGAGUCAAUGUUCAACAGUAAUCUUUGCCCGAAUCAAUCUCCCAAACAAAUGCGUAAUACAGCCACUUCACCUACCUGUCGAGCUCCGUCACGAAAUGGUCAAUCUAGUCCCUCCCAAAUUCACUCACCAAAGAAUAAUACCUCUCCAACGAACGGCAAUAAGUCGGAGAACCAACGUUCCAAGAUGACAGGCUCGCACGUGAUUCAAAAAUGCAAUAAUUGCGUAAAGAACAAUCAAAAUGAACGACCCGGCUUGCUUCAGACGCCCGUGUCUCCGUCGAAGGCUGGGCAGGCGUUGCAACACUCGCCAAAGAGUACCAAUCUGGCUCAAAACGCGCAAAACAAUCAGCAGAAGAUGGAACAACGUAGACCAAAUACGUUGAAUAUUUGCAACAACCAGUGUUCGACGCAGUGCGGCAAUACCUUGUCCGUGAGCAGACCUAGCUCGCGGCACAAGCUGAGGCAUCAGAAUUCCUCUCAGGGUAGCUUUGACAGCGCGUCUCCUUGCCUCUCACGAGAUAGUAGUACAGAAUUGUAUACGGACAGUACUGGAAUAGAUCUGGAGCAUUUCAUCGCGGAAACUAUAAAUCGUAACCAGAAGGAUCGCACGGUGCUAUUAAAAAUCGAGAAAGAUCUGAUAGAAUUCGCAAAAGACAAGCAGAAAGUCUGUCAUAAGUUUCCAAACAUGUCUUCUUACAACAGAAUGCUAGUGCAUCGCGUGGCAGCUUACUUUGGCAUGGAACAUAACGUAGAUCAGUCUGGUUCCAGCGUGAUAGUUACCAGAACGAAAAACAUGCGAAUUCCAAAUACUCGUUUUAAGGAACACAUCAGAGACGAUCUGAUUCUGUCUGAAGAACCACGAAGAAGUAUUCUGAAGAGAGAUUCUAGCUCAUUCGAAGACAAUUUCAAUUUUAAGUCACCUGACAGAUUAUCUGGCGAUUAUUGCCGACAGAGUAAGAGUUUCGAGGAAAGGGAGGAGGAGUAUGAACGUGCCAGACGAAGAAUAUUUAAAGAUAGCAGUGGAGAAAGUAGCGAAGUUACUUCCUGGCCUUACUGGUCUUCUUCAGAAAGUUCUGACGCUUCUGCGAGAUAUCGUUUGUUACAUCCUUCGGAUCAUACGAUGAGGCUAUGUUGCGUAUGUAAUAGGCAAACGAAGCUCUUGAAAGGGGAAUCUUUCGAUGGAAGAGAAUCCUGUCGAGGAUCCGUAUUGAGGCCAUCUGUUUCCAAGUCCUUUAGUUUCGGUGGUUACACCAGGGGAAUGCUUUCUAGAGGGGACAGUGUUACAUCCACUCAUAGUGCUGGGGCUCGCCUUAUGAAGCAAGAGAUUAAAUCUGUUGCAGACUCAGGUGCUAGUAUGUGUUCACGACUAAGUCCUUCGAGUAGCGGCUAUAAAUCGCAAAGCCAACGCAGCGAUGCCACGAUAUCGCCGUCUCCUUCGCCAUCCCCUGUGGCAACCAUGACCUGCAGUCAUACCCAAGUAUCUAGUCAGGAUCUCGCUUCUCCGGAAUCGAAUAAUCAAACGGUGAUGUGGGCGGUUACCAGUAUAUCCAGUGUACCGCCAGGUAGCAUAAUCAUAAAUCCGCAAACGAAUCAGCCGUAUACCAAUCCAGAUGGUUCGAUUUACCGCUUCGACCCAGAGAACCCACCAAAAUUUUAUACUGCUGCAUUGCCGCACGAAAACGAAAGGAAUAACAUGUCGCCCAGCAAGACCGUAGAAGUAUCCGAGCCACCCAAAAUAACACAAAAUAACACAAAGAACGAAAAUAAAAAGAGGUCGCAGACUAAGCAGCACAACGGUGGUAACACAACAGCAGUGACUCAUGUGACGAACUCGGCGACAUCACCGAGUUUGCCGUUCACGCCGCCACCUCAACAGAAUCCAGGAUCAUUGCAACAACCGCAACAACAACAACAGCAACAACAACAGCCGCAGCAGCAACAAACUCUAGUCAAAUCAUCGUCGACAGUGCAAACUUGCAAUCACAACCAAGCAGCUCAACCAUACACGACCUACGUACCUACCUCAGAACCGUAUAAUCAAGGUGUCUAUCCACCCUCUGUGGGACAACAGACUGUGAUGAUGGCUCCUCAUCCGAGUCAAAAUCAGGCGAACGUUCAAAACAAUGGUCAGGGUGAUGUAUUUAAUCAGAAUUCGGUUUACGCGAAUUAUGCAGUACCUGUGCAACAAGGACCAGUGUCGCAGACAACGGAGAUAACUGAAUUGUCCGGAUAUUUUAUGGGUAUGAGCAUCUACGAUCAACGCGUGACUGGUGAUAACCAUUCUACGCCGCCGCACUCUUACCCACAAUCGCAACCAUCUACAAAUCAAGCAGUUCAAAAUGUGCAGACGAUGCCGCAGAAUUACUGGCAACCACCACCUAAUUCUGUACCGGCACAACAGACGAUGUACUUCGUACCUCCGCCUGGUGCGGCACUUUCAGUCAGUCAGGGUCCAGGUGAUAGACAGCCAUUGCAUCAACAACAGAGAUUUACGACAAAUUAUUCUUUCAAUGCACAAACUAUGACUCCUCCGAGCCAAUCAAAUUCUAAUUACGUGGCUAGUUAUCCAGUCCCUUACAAUUCAAUGCCCGCUGUAACACCAGGACCAGGGGAUUACACGUAUCAACCAUCAGUUCAUAUGGUACCUACGUAUUAUCCUCCAGGUCAAACGACGAUUCAACCACCACCUGUCAUGUACAGAGUGCCGACACCACCAAAUACUCCGACUUCUAAUCAGAUGCCUGGAAUGCCACUGAUGUACGUCAACUCUGGUAGCUAUCCGCCACCAACGAUGGUAUCCAAUGGAACAUUUGGCCAUCAAGUCGGACACAAUGGCACAUCACCUGCACCUCCUGGAACUUAUAUGACUCCCGCGCUGGUUCCCAAUCUCGUUUUUAGGCAAAAUGUUCCUGUUGUUGCUGGUGUACGAGCUUCAACGCCAGGUAACUCUCAGAGAACUAGCAGGUCGCCGACUCCAGCACACGAGCUGUUCGGAAGUGGGAGCGGGGACAGAAGCGCACAACCCCAACCACGCUACCCACUGCCAAUGUAUCAGGGUGUCCAUAUUGUACAAGGAGAUAUGAGAUUGAUGCAUCCCGCAGUACCAGCCAAUCCACGGUUGCAGUAUGCACCAGUACCAUCACCACCUGUUGUUCAAGGUUGUCCACGACCGUACCGACCGCCUUCUUAUUCGUCGAAUACCUCAGGCGCUGGUACACCAACCUCGUUUGAUGGAAGAAAUCAGAAAAUUCGUAAACAGAGGUCCAAAGUAGCAUCGUUGCCACCAACAGGCGUGCGGCCCAAUCUUUAUCAGACUCCUUCCAUGCCGUCGCUCUCGUCUAACGUUCCGAAAGAUAUCAGAGAAGCGAAACCUGUGGAAGACAAUAUGAUAUAAGGUACAGAACUUCAGUAUAAAAUACUACAAAAAGAACACACGGUAUCUACAUUGUAACGGACCGUGAAGGUGACAAUCACCCGCCGAAACCAACUGGUACAAUAUUAAGUACCCGGGCCAAUUUUGGAAGAGGAUCAGUGCUGAAUGUAAAGAAAAAGACAAUUAUAUCGUUACAGGCUAAUUGAGAAGAACUGAAUGAGCAGCUCGUGGUUUACCGCUAUGCAUACAUGAUUCUUAUUAUUAAUAUUAAUAAUACUUUUAAUUAAAUAUCUAAAAGAAAAGAAAUAUAAAAAGCACACACUACUAGAAUAUAAAAAUUCACGUAUUAUAAAAAUCGAAAAAGGAACAAACAAGAUUGAAAAUCACCCCUAAGAUAAAAAUGAAAAUGUUAUACAUCUCUUUUGAUAAAAUGCGGUGACCGAUGAAACUAACAUAAAAUAAAGAAGAAGGAAAAGGAAGACACAUUGAAAUUCGUUCAUACCGAUCAUAUAAUAAAAAUCUGAAUUAUCAGAAUAUUCAAAAGAGAGAAAUGAAGCAGAGGAAAAUGUACUGAGUGCAUAAAGGAAGGAUAAUCUGUGCGUUGUUCUUUGGCGUAGGGCACGAUAGACCCAGUGGUACACACCGAACAGAGUUACUGAACAGAAUUUUAACUAUUACAAUUAUUAUAUAUUAUAUAUACAGUAUAUUAUAUUAUAUCUGGAGAUAUUUUAAUCGCGGUUUUACAGAUACUAUAUAAAUGUGAGAUUUACUUUUAAGAGAAGGUACUUUUAAAAUGAACACAGAUAUAUACGCAUGGAUUGCCUGGCCCGGUCUACGGAUCACUCUCGACCGGCUAGGAAAUCCUCAUUAUAAAUAACGAUAAAACUAAUGUACGAGUAUUAUAUAAUACACGUUACUGAGUACGUUUACAGUAGCAAUCGCAAACGCUGUCCAGCCAGAAUCUCUGGAUCGGCUCUACGUUCUUUCAGGAAUGAUCAUUGCUCAUUGAUUCUUCUGUGUACUGCCAUCAAAGAGUUGCGUUAAUCUUUAAAAAAAAAGACAAAAGGAAAAAGUAAAAAAAAAAGAGAGGAAAGAAGUAGGAAGAACAGAACAGAACAAAAAUAUUGCUGCCAGUUGUGACUCGCGGAUAGGAAUGAAAUUAUUUGCUACCUCAAUUUUAUAUCGAAAAGAUUUUUCAUGUUAUCGGCCUUUUAUGGAGUUGUGAAUUCUUCCAAGAAAGCUUUCAAUUCUUUUCAUUCGAACACGAGAGUAACCAUAAUUUCAUCGAAUAUUUAAUGAUACUUGCAACGUGAUUUAUUGUAUAUAAGUAUUGCGUAAACGAAAUGUUUCAUCAGGGAGAUAAACGCGAUUUAUAUUCGAAAGGUUCCCUCUGGCAUAAUAAUCGUCUCCCUGAUAUCCUGCAUUCUAAGAUUCGCUAACGCUUCUGAUCUCUGACGAUUACUUUAGUACAAGUUAAUGUAUCGCUGGAGGAGAAAAUGUAAACGUAUUCAGUACAUGGAUCUAUAUACCUAGUUCGACACAAGUAGAUAAGUAGCGCGAAACCAUCACAGCUUAGUGUCACGAAAGAAAACCUCACAUACGUCUUUAAAAGAAAGCCAUUCUUUCUCUUUUUCCGUUGAUCGUCCGUAAAUAGGGAAUUGAUGUAAAGUUUUAGCCGAUACGAGACGCGCACGUUUAACGACAAUUCUGUAUUAUUUUGUAAGGUUUCCCCACGAGGGGAAUGAACAUGAAAACGCGACAGACGCUCCAUACAGUAACUAUGAUUCGUCUUCCAAGCUUCACAGCACGCUUCUGAAUCCUAUAGAUAUCCGAACUACGUAAUUAGAUAUACUUUUCACGCCCGAUUCUACGAAGAAGUAAUAUGUAAUUAGUUUGGCAGCGGUGAUGGUGACGCGUGAUCGUCGUAAUUAAUAAUGUCUCCGUCUGUGAAAAAAGUUCAUUUGCGGAUCAACGUAGACGAUCUUCAUAUCGCAAUUAACAUUCAUUUUUAGUUAAUCGAUCUACUAUCCAUAACAAUGCUAAAUCUAAGUUCAAUAUUUUAAAUAUCAUUUCUAUUAAGUUUUUAGUAAGGCGUGUACGUUGCUCCGCAUGAGAAAUACCAAGUGGAAUCCAUCCAGAAGCUUCGCUUACGGUGAUUGUACUUCAGGACGUAGGUGAAGGGUGUGCCUAUCUUUUUAUGAGAUUUAAUUGAAAAAAAUGCGCGCACCGCGACCUUUUAUCUACCCUAUGCCAAGCGACGCGAAAGAGAGGCACUACUUUCUUCAUAAGAAAGCGUGAUAAAUUUAUCUAAAGAUCUCUAGAUUUAAAAAGAACCGAAAGAAAAAAAAGGUAAAAAAAAGAGGGAGAAAGUGAGAGUGGAAACGAGAGAGACCUGAGCAGAAUAAAUAUUAGACGGAUUAAAACUAUUCAAAUGUUUCAAUUAUAAAGAGAUGGGCGCACAACAAAGUAGUGUUUAACCGUACCUAAAGUCGUCGUAGUGAUUAAUGAAGAUAAUUGUACCUAUAACAAAAAAACAACAAAAAAAAAGAAAAACAGUUCACGAAUCUCUCUAAAACUUAAUUAACAAAAGAAGGAAAGGAAAAAUGUGAAACAGGAUUAUAAUAUCGAUUAUGGAGAGAAACCGCUUGCAAGUGACGUUCACCAUUUUUUUUCGCCACAUUGAAAUUCAUUAUUUUCAAAUGUUAUUCAGUCUACGUAAUUUUAUGAUAUUUUUAUAAUCAAUUACGAGAACAAGAUGCGAGAAUACGAUUAAAGAAAAAGAAGUGCAUAAUGUGUAUAAUGAUAUAAUUUAUGGUCGAGCGUUAUUUGCAGGCAGUCGCGCUUACGUCGUGCAACCGGAGCAGCUGAACCAAAGUCAUGAUUGUAAUUGCAUAGUCACAUUUAUUUAUUUUUCAUUUCGCUCGCAUGCGCUUUUAUCAGAAAACUCGAUGCAUCUGCUGUUGCACCACGCUCGUGAUUCGUUCCGCUUAACACGUUCUGCAGGAACGUUUUCUUUCGGUGCGUUCUUAUUUUAUAAUAAAUCGCUUUAUUUAAUAUACACAUGUGUUAUACGCUGUGGAAGAAAGAGUUGAGAGUCUAGAGAUGUGAUUAGCAGGUGUAUCGAGCACUGUUCACAAGUGAUUUCGUAAGUUCGCCUGGGCUAUUGUAGAAAUGCAAGAGGAAAAAAACAGAGGGACGAAGAAGGAACGAGAGAAUCGACGAAAUCAUUCGUUUACCGGAUGAUGGGCUCAAGGGAUAUUAAAAACUAUGUACGAUCGACGAAGAGAACGGGUGAUAAAGUCAUUGUAACCUCACGUUCGUUUCCUACUAUUUUUGUAUGCAACAUAAAAAAAGGAGAUUGACGAUAGCGAGAGAAUUAAAAAAAAGAAUAAAAUGAAGAAUUCGUGUGUGAGAGAGUGGGAGAGGAUGAACGAUGAAGGGUGAAGAGAAUAUGAAACAAAAAACAAACAAAUUGAAAAUGAGGAUGAGUACGAAAGAAUGAGCAUAUGAAGUUUUUCGAAGCUUUUUCGUUUGGAGAUCCUCGCAUCUUCCUGAUCACCUUCCGUUGAUUGCGUCGCCACGUCGAAGACUCAUUAGCCUUUAAGUGUAACCGGGUGCCUGAAAAUUGAUUAAUUUUUGCGCCACGAUUAGCUGAUCCCAAUAAAAUACCGGCACGCGGCUAAAACUUUUCCGCCAUGUGAGGAGUGUAAUCAAACUCUUUCAAUUGUUAUCCGUGCUCCACGAGAAGCGAUAGGAACUUUCUAUUUUUGAGAAGAGAAGAGUAAAUUAGUUGAUUAUUUUCGCGGCUAAAACGCCACACAAGUUAGCUUUUCAGUUUGUAAUCGCGUAAAGAAGUUCUGGCAACUUCAUCCUGUCGCUUCUUGUGCGUCGCAUCCGCAAAUAGCGCGUUGGAUUGGAGAUCGGCGACCCUUUGAUUUGAUUUGAUUUUUUCUUAUCGUUCUUUAUCGUUUCCUCCAUUGAACACUGUGCGGGACGCAGAAUAAAGAGUAGACGACGAUUCGUUCGUUGCCGAUCUUUUUAGAUGCUAGUUGGCGUGAACUCGACGUCUCACAUCAAAAAAGAAAAAUCGUUAUCUUGCAAGAUCGUUUUUCACAAUUAGUGAGUAUGGAAUGCGAUGUCCCAUGGUGAAUACAUCUGAAAUGUCGAUUGAUCUUGACUGCGAAUAUAAAUGCAACAAACAAGGUUCAGACGAGCUACACUUGCGUAUUUGUAUUCUUUCCAGAUCACACCUGAUUGUUUCUUUUACGUUCGACAUAUCACGUGGAACAAGAGUAAACGAUGGCUGUGCCUUUAUGCUUAAUAUUAUAAUUUAGAGUUUUCAUUUGGACUGAGAUUUCUGUGCAGGAUAUCUUCAGAUCGUUUCUUGUCCUGUGAAAAGGUUGAAUGUUAAUAUUUAUGUAUUAAGAAAUAAGAAGAUGAUUCAAAUGUAUUCACUGAUAACAUUGGGCCAAACACUGUGUCAAGAUGAUGGUUAACUCUUUGAGUCUCAGAGAGAGUAAAUUUUCUUUGAAAUGUUUGGUCCUUUUUUGUAUGAAAAAUUCUAUGAUUUGCAUUAAUUUUGUGGAAAAAGAGUUUCCAUAUUUUGUAUAUAAUUUUAAAGAAAUGUAUGUGUAAAAGGCAUAUGUAGGAUAUAUACAUAGGCUGAUCCUCAAAGAGUUACAUAGGGAAAAGAUGAUUGAGGGAAAGCGUGAGUGAGUGUGUGUGGGAAGAAAAGAGGAAUAACAAAAGAAAACCUACGACGAAUCGAAGAAUUCGUAUGCAUAUGCAUCACGAAGGUGACCGAGAAGGUGAAUGAAAUUAGGAAUCGUAUGAUGGAAACAAAAGAGCUAUACUACCAACCCAAAGAUGCACAACAUCAUAGAGAGCCGGACAAUUUGAUAGAACUCAUGUCAGUCUAAUUAUAUUUCUUGUUAUAUUAUAUACAUAUAUAUAUCAUAUUUUCCAAAAACGAAUUAUAUAUAAUUCAAUAAAAAAGAAGACACUCUCGUUUGAUA